GGAUAAUAAUACAUGUGUGGUAGAAGCUGAACCAUGACACAGAAAUCACGAGAGGGGUCAAAGACACAGUUGAUACACAUGGGAUGAGCCUUGUGUUACAGGCCCACCAACUGACUGGAUAUGGCACAAGAGAGUCGUCCUUCCUUAAUACUCAGGAAUAAAUUUGGCGUGAUAGAACCACCACCAGAUGAAAUUAUUUUUCUGCCACCACCAGUUGAUGUAAUUGACAGCCACAGCUAAGGAACCAUACCAUUAUGAUACUCCUGUGGGCUGCCUACGUUCUACAAGCCCAGCUCUCUGAUACCCCACCACCACCACCACUAACUGAAUUUGGACCUGUUCUUCAAUGCACUUCCCCAACAUGCUUAUAAAAGUGAUGGCAAC
rnacentral:lncRNA from 1 species